UACGAAGGGGGCUAGCGUUGCUCGGAAUCACUGGGCGUAAAGGGCGCGUAGGCGGCCAUUCAAGUCGGAGGUGAAAGCCCAGGGCUCAACCCUGGAAUUGCCUUCGAUACUGUUUGGCUAGAGACCGGAAGAGGUAAGUGGAACUGCGAGUGUAGAGGUGAAAAUUCGUAGAUAUUCGCAAGAACACCAGUGGCGAAGGCGGCUUACUGGUCCGGUUCUGACGCUGAGGCGCGAAAGCGUGGGGAGCAAACAGG
rnacentral:rRNA from 1 species